UCCGUUAACAAUUUUGGCCAUAUUUCCUGUAUCGCGUAAUGAACGAAUACUCGUAGACAGCUUCAAGACCGUAAUCUAACAGCGGCAUGUGGUCAGGGGUUAUCCGUAUGUUUAAAUAAGUAAAUAUUGACUUUUAUCUCGUUAUAAAAGAUUUGCUGGAACCUCUAUAGCCACAGAUUUAUCUUUGUUUCCGACCAAUACACAAUUAUUAGCCAUGAACAAAAUUACAUUCGUUUUGUUGCUGGUCGCUUUGUUCGCGAUCACAAAGGCGCAUCCUCAAGGCGUGAACGUCGUUGAUCAGGCGGGAGGCGGCGGAGUGAGCGUCGUUGAUAACAACCCAGGCUACGUACAUGUAGUAGACGGAGAAAGUCAAGUUAAUGUCGUGGACAACCCAGGACCUCCGAACGGAGCCAGGGCCGGAGGCAACUGACUUCAAAUAGAAGAAAUGGAUGACUCCUAUUCUAAUGGAAAACUUUAAAUAGAUUAACAUAUACUUAAUUAAUACAAACGCUACUUAGCUUACGUGAUUAAAUGUUUUAAAUCUAUAUAA